rnacentral:rRNA from 1 species
CUAAGAAUAUUCCGCAAUGGACGAAAGUCUGACGGAGCGACGCCGCGUGGAUGAUGAAGGCCGGAAGGUUGUAAAAUCCUUUUAUGACUGAGGAAUAAGUGAAGUGAGGGAAACGCUUCAUGGUGACUGUAGGUCAUGAAUAAGCAACGGCUAAUUACGUGCCAGCAGCCGCGGUAACACGUAAGUUGCGAGCGUUGUUCGGAAUUAUUGGGCGUAAAGGGUAUGUAGGCGGUUCUGCAAGUCUGGUGUGAAAUGCCGGGGCUCAACCCCGGAACUGCGUUGGAAACUGCAGGACUUGAAUCGCUGAGGGGCAGCCAGAAUUCCAGGUGUAGGGGUGAAAUCUGUAGAUAUUGGGAGGAACACCAGUGGCGAAGCG